CUCUUUCUCUCUCUCUUUCUCUCUCUCUCUCUCUCUCUCUCUCUCUCUCUCUCUCUCUCUCUCUCUCUCUCUCUCUCUCUCUCUCUCUUUUAAACACCCCAUUUUCCAAGAUUAGACCUAAUCCGACAGCCGAAAUACUAGAAAUUCCGGUUACUUGUGAACAUCUGGGCCCAGGACCAGACCCGGGAACCUGUGACCCAGGUAAAGAGCGCACCUGGAGAAGUACCCGGUAAUUACCGCUGUGCGGCGCCACGUGGUUGCGACAUGUUGAUUUGGCGUCUUUUUCACGUGCAGUCCGUGUCAUCAUCAUCAUCCUACUCCUCAUAAUCCUCCAGCUGGCUUUCCAACACGUCCCGCUUUCACAGAAGACGUCAUUAAGAGAGAAACCCCGGCGCGGUCUCGGAGCGUUUCAUCCAUCACAGGUUUAUGGAUAAAUUAAGGGCGGUGCUGAGCGGGCGAGACGGAGACACUGACAGCACCCCGAAUGUAAUCGAGGCAGUGAAUGAAGCGUCCACACUGUCAUGGAGGACACGGGUGAGAGGAUUCGCUGUCUGCAUGGGAAUCGGGAUCUUCUGCUCGAUUCUGGGAGUGUGCUGCCUGUUCUUACCCAAGAUAGGCCUGAUUCUCUUUAUCGUCUUUUACACACUGGGGAAUAUCUGCUCCUUAGCCAGCACCUUGUUUCUGAUGGGGCCGGUGAAGCAGCUGAAGAGGAUGUUUGACAAAACCAGAGUCGUCGCCACGGUGGUCAUGAUCGUGUGCCUGGUGCUGACGCUCUGUGCGGCGUUUUGGUGGAAGAUUUUCGCCCUGACGUUGCUGUUCGUUAUUUUGCAAGCCAUUGCGUUUGCUUGGUAAGCGUGUGAACAGAUUACUGGCUCAUAAUGUUUAUCACGGCAUUAUAACAGGAUGAGCUGCUUUACAACGGUCUGCGUAUUUUCGUUUGCAGAGAUGCCAUUUUGAAGUUCUUUUCCUCGAUGUGCAAAAUGUGCAUAAAAUGUCAGUGCGAUUGACAUUUCCUGAGGGUUCUUCUUUACAAGUUUGAUCCAGGACCUGUGUUUUAGAGUUUCAUGAUCACUAAACACACACACACACACACACAAACACACACACACACACACACAAACAAACACUUUCCAUGGUCAUGUGUUCCAAUAUGGUGAACGCCUGACUGAUAUUGUACUACUUUUAUUUUUGCUUUUGUUGAAGGUAAAAGAAUUCAAAGAUUCAAGGUUUCUGGGAUCAUUCUCAUGUUCGGUUUUUAGUAUCUGGUACAUCUAGUAGAUCCAUAAAUCCCAUGAACAGAGCCUUGUUUUCUGUACUGAAGUUUUGGGCCUGUUUUUCUCGUUGUCGUUGUGAGAUAUAUAUAUAUAUAUAUAUAUAUAUAUAUAUAUAUAUAUAUAUAUAUAUAUAUAUAUAUAUAUAUAUAUUUUUUCUUAAUUGUUAAUGUUGGCAUUGUUAAUGUUGGCUUGGUAAAAUCCUGUUGUGCAAUAGUGUAAAUAAAUAAAUGAAUAUGUUUUUGUCAUGUUUAUUCUGUGUUACCCUUGGAAUGUACAAUUUUAGGCUAACAGAGUGGGUGGGGCUUAUAGCUGAGCAACAGUAAUAAAUAUUUUUAAUGCAUGCUCAACUUGAAUAAAAUGUGCACGUGAAAUGAGUAAAUAAAAUAUCUUUAUUGAACAUCUCA